UACAGGGAGGGUGCGAGCGUUAAUCGGAAUUAGCUGGGCGUAAAGCGCACGUAGGUGGCGACGUAAGUCGGGUGUGAAAGCCCCGGGGCUCAACCUGGGAAUUGCAUUCGAGACUGCAUUUGGCUGGGAGUACGGGAAAGAGGAGGGCGGAAUUCCCGGUGUAAGCGGUGAAAUGCGUAGAUGAUCGGGAGGAACAUCAGGUGGCGA
rnacentral:rRNA from 1 species